UCCGCAGGCGGUCAAUUAAGUCAGAGGUGAAAUACCAUAGCUCAACUAUGGAACUGCCUUUGAUACUGGUUGACUUGAGUCAUAUGGAAGUAGAUAGAAUGUGUAGUGUAGCGGUGAAAUGCAUAGAUAUUACACAGAAUACCGAUUGCGAAGGCAGUCUACUACGUAUGUACUGACGCUGAGGGACAAAAGCGUGGGGAGCGAACAGGAUUAGAUACCCUGGUAGUCC
rnacentral:rRNA from 1 species